UCCACACGCUGUGUUUGCCUUCCAGCCUCCGGCAGCUCUUGCCAGGAGAACCAAGCGCUGAGCAACGGGAUCAGAAAAGCCAGUUCUUCUUCUUCCUCCUCAUCCUCCUCCUCGUCUUCCUCCCCUUGUUUUAGGGACCUAAAAACCUGCAGCAUCCAUCAGCCUCAAAAUGCUGGCACGACUUUUUAAAUCCCGGAUCAGUCUCUCCAGAACGAGUGGGUGAUCACAUCUGAUGACAGCUUUAAAAUAAUAAUCUGAACAGAACAAGCAAUUCCCAUGGGAAAGCUCGGGGUGUAUGGACUUGUAAAGAAAAUGCCACUUUCUGUGAGUAUUAACCAUCUGUGCAAGCAGUGCAGUGCUGGAAAGCUCCAGCCUUUUAAUCAGAGCUUUGGAUUCCAUAGCAGGAUUUAAUCUGCUGUGGGAGUGUUUUCAGCCAGGUUAUGUAGAUUCUGUCAAGAAACCAAGUGGCUGAAAAAGAUGGAUGGAUGGAUGGAUGGAUGGAUGGAUGGAUGGAUGGAUGGAUGGAUGGAUGGAAGGAAUGUGCUGGGAGGAGGCUGCAUUGUUUAGGGGUUGCAGAUUUAUAAAUGUGCCACAUUUCACACUGGACACUCACCCUAAAGCCUUUAUGGGGUCUGGAUCUGCCUUUUAGGGAAUCCCACUCUGGGAAUCCAGUGCACAAAUGUGGGAGGGAAUGGGGUGAGCAGGGCUGGAGGAGUUUGAGGCAGGAGUCCAGAGGCUGAGAAAUGACAGGCACAAAUGUUUGAAAGUGCUCAAAGUGAGCACCUUGCUGUGCAUGGAUUCAGAGCAUGAGAGGAACCAGCACUCCUGGAGCUGGCUGCCUUUUCCCACACAGAAAUUCCCAAUUCAUUUCCUCCAAGAGCAAAAAUGCCCUAAAAUGUAACCAUUCCUGGGGACAGAUCUCACCUCGGUGUCUCCAAGGUUAAGGGGUGGGAGAGCUGAAGCAUUCCUGUCUUCCCAUAACAAGAAGUGACAGCUUCUAAUUAGAAUUCAUUAGAGGCAGCCCUGGGGAACUGAUGGGACCAUUUUUCAGGAUGUGUUGUUGAAAUUAUUUUUCAUCUCACGAUGACAUGUUGGCUCAGUGCUCUGAGUUCUCUUCCCCAAUCCUACAGAUGUCCUUUGAGUCAUCUGUGCUGUGCCUAAAACUGAGGAUCUGAGAUCCCAGAACCCUCAGCAAACUCUGAGAUACAGGAGAAGGAGAAUGGGGGAGCAAAAUGAGGCAGAAACAUUGGGUUUUCUGAGUUACAGGGUAAAACUCGUCGUCUAGAUGAGCAUUUCAUAGAAACUGGAGCACAAGGAGAUCCACAAUUACUGAAUGUCUGGAUAUUUUGGCAGUUAUUUGGUACUUUAAAAUAUCAGCUCCCAGAGUCAAAGUAUUCUGAGAGAAACUCUUUAUUCUUUCAAAAAAUAGUCUUUUCUUCAAGAAUUUACAGUGCAAAAAACUUCAGCUCUCAGUAUUCUGAGAGAAACUCUUUAUUCUUUCAAAAAAUAGUCUUUUCUUCAAGAAUUUACAGUGCAAAAAACUUCCACCAUGUGAAUCUUAGAUCCUCUGGGAAAAAAAAACCAUCUUUGCCUUUUAGUUCCACUUCGUCUUUUAUAGCUUGGACUGGGACUCUCCCUUGCUUUGAGUCCUGGACCAGUCUGUGAUUUGAGUUAGUUUUUAAUCAAAAAACAAUAAAAGUUGGUUUAAGAGGGAUGAAACCAAACAAGAAGGAGCAAGGAACAUAUUGUGCUUAGCAAAUGCAUCACAGUACACCCAGAGCCUGUGACUCCAUUGCCUGUUUGCUUUUACUGCCUUUCCAAGGUUCAGACAUUUUUAUUAGAGCCAAGGAACAUUCCAGAGUUUAUUCCAGUUUAUUCCAAAGGUAAUAAAAAUGCAGUGUGCCAGAAAACAACAGCAAACAAUAGCAAAGGGCUUUUUUUGGCUGAUUUUGCUGUUUCUGCCUCUCUUGGGGUUCCAGCAUCACCCCCUUUUAGGACAGACACAAAGUCUGCCUCAGCCCCACCAUCGUGGGUCAUCCAGGAGUUCCUCACACCAUCACCAGGCAGGACUCUGGAGGUGCAGACCUCCAGAAAUUAUAAUUCAUAUAAUAAUUAUAUUCUUUUCCCUGCUGUGGGUGAAGUGCCAUUAGUCAGUUGUUGUGGGGGGAAUUUCCGGGGCAAAUAAAGAACAUUUUAAUUGCUGUUAAUCAGGCUGGAGCCUGAGCAGCUGAUGGUGGGAGGAGAAGGCAGCAGCAGCGUGGAGCUGACACAGAACACUCAGCAGCAGAUCUGUGCUGGUCCCUCCUCCAGGAUGUUCUGCUGCUCCCUGUGGCUCCUGGGCAUGGCAGAGAGAUGAGAAUUCCUCAUGAUCUCACUCCAGUGUUUUUCCAGGGAAGCUUCAUGCCUGCACAAGCAUUCUGUGGGAUCAGCCAGCCUCAUCAUUGGACACAGGGCUGCUUUGGCUGACUUCAUGCUCUGCAGAUAUCCGUGACACAUCAAGCUGGAAAGAUCAUUUCUGAGCACCUCAAGCUGGCAUUUCUAACAUAAGGAGUCAGCCAGGGAGAUUUCAAUCUGAUUUUUAACACCCCCAUAAGCCAAGAGCUUCGUUCAUCUCUGCUUUGUCACUGUGUGUUAACUGCAGCCAUCGGCAGAUUUAGGGUGAGAUUUUAGACAUUGCUUCAUCAUUGCUGGUUUUAAAUAGAAUAAACUUUCCUGAACCA